AAUUCGCCCUUAGAGUUUGAUCCUGGCUCAGGACGAACGCUGGCGGCGUGCCUAAUACAUGCAAGUCGGACGAACCAGGAAGGGAACUUGUUCCUUUCCUUGGUUAGUGGCAGACGGGUGAGUAACACGUGGAGAACCUACCUUUCAGCGGGGGAUAACCAUUGGAAACGAUGACUAAUACCGCAUAGGACUUUGAGUCACCUGACUUAAAGAGGAAAGACGGCUUCGGCUGUCACUGAAAGAUGGCUCCGCGGUGCAUUAGCUAGAUGGUAAGGUAACGGCUUACCAAGGCAAUGAUCAGUAGCCGGCCUGAGAGGGUGAUCGGCCACAUUGGGACUGAGACACGGCCCAAACUCCUACGGGAGGCAGCAGUGGGGAAUAUUGCACAAUGGAGGGAACUCUGAUGCAGCGACGCCGCGUGAGCGAAGAAGGAAUUCGUUUCGUAAAGCUCUGUCCUAUGGGAAGAUAAUGACGGUACCAUAGAAGAAAGCCCCGGCUAACUACGUGCCAGCAGCCGCGGUAAUACGUAGGGGGCGAGCGUUGUCCGGAAUUAUUGGGCGUAAAGGGUUCGUAGGCGGUAAUACAUGUCAGAUGUGAAAUCUUGUGGCUUAACCACAUCAAGCAUCUGAAACUGUAUAACUUGAGUGGAGGAGAGGUAAGUGGAAUUCCUAGUGUAGCGGUGAAAUGCGUAGAUAUUAGGAAGAAUACCAGUAGCGAAGGCGACUUACUGGCCUCUAACUGACGCUGAUGAACGAAAGCGUGGGUAGCAAACAGGAUUAGAUACCCUGGUAGUCCACGCCGUA
rnacentral:rRNA from 1 species